rnacentral:rRNA from 1 species
CUACCAGACUCCUACGGGAGGCAGCAGUGGGGAAUAUUGCACAAUGGGCGAAAGCCUGAUGCAGCAACGCCGCGUGAAGGAAGAAGGGUUUCGGCUCGUAAACUUCUAUCAACAGGGACGAAAGAAAUGACGGUACCUGAAUAAGAAGCCCCGGCUAACUACGUGCCAGCAGCCGCGGGAAUACGUAGGGGGCAAGCGUUAUCCGGAAUUACUGGGUGUAAAGGGUGAGUAGGCGGCAUGGUAAGCCAGAUGUGAAAGCCUUGGGCUUAACCCGAGGAUUGCAUUUGGAACUAUCAAGCUGGAGUACAGGAGAGGAAAGCGGAAUUCCUAGUGUAGCGGUGAAAUGCGUAGAUAUUAGGAAGAACACCAGUGGCGAAGGCGGCCUGCUGGACUGCAACUGACGUUGAGGCUCGAAGGCGUGGGGAGCAAACAGGAUUAGAUCCCCGCGUAAG